UAUUAUAUUUAAUGUUAAUUAUUUACUGGGGUAAUAGUAGGAAGUUCUUGAAACUCAAAGAAUUUGGCGGUGUUUUAGUCUUUUCAGAGGAAUCUGUCCUGUAAUUGAUAAUACACGAUUUGAUUUACUUGAUUUUGUUGUCAGUUUAUAUACCGCCGUCAUAAGAUUAUUUUUGUUUGAGAAUAAAAUUUUCUUGUUUUUAUAAUAGGUAAUAUGUCAGGUCAAGGUGUAGCUUAUAAUUAAGUAGAGAUGGAUUACAAUAAUUUUAGUUAUAUGGAUAAUUAUUUUAAGUUAAUUUGAAGGUGGAUUUGAUUGUAAAUUUAUUUUUAAUUUUUAUAUUGAUUUGAGCUCUAGAAUGUGCACAUAUCGCCCGUCGCUCUCGUUAUUAAGGUGAG
rnacentral:rRNA from 1 species